CAUGCAGUCGACGGAAAGCGCUCUUCGGAGUGACUCGAGUGGCGAACGGGUGASCUWACACGUGGGUGAUCUGCCCUGCACUUUGGGAUAAGCCUGGGAAACUGGGUCUAAUACCGAAUAGGACUCCGGACUGCAUGGUCUGGGGUGGAAAGCUUUUGCGGUGUGGGAUGGGCCCGCGGCCUAUCAGCUUGUUGGUGGGGUGAUGGCCUACCAAGGCGACGACGGGUAGCCGGCCUGAGAGGGUGACCGGCCACACUGGGACUGAGAUACGGCCCAGACUCCUACGGGAGGCAGCAGUGGGGAAUAUUGCACAAUGGGCGCAAGCCUGAUGCAGCGACGCCGCGUGGGGGAUGACGGCCUUCGGGUUGUAAACCUCUUUCAGCACAGACGAAGCGUAAGUGACGGUAUGUGCAGAAGAAGCACCGGCCAACUACGUGCCAGCCGCCCGCGGUAA
rnacentral:rRNA from 1 species